GACGAACCGUCCAAACGUUAUUCGGUAUCACUGGGCUUAAAGAGUUCGUAGGCGGCCCUGCAGGUGAGGUGUGAAAUCCCUCGGCUUAACCGAGGAACUGCGCUUCAAACCGCAAGGCUAGAGGGAGACAGGGGUAAGCGGAACAGAUGGUGGAGCGGUGAAAUGCGUUGAUAUCAUCUGGAACACCAGUGGCGAAGGCGGCUUACUGGGUCUUUACUGACGCUGAGGAACGAAAGCUAGGGUAGCGAAC
rnacentral:rRNA from 1 species